rnacentral:rRNA from 1 species
UACGGAGGGUGCAAACGUUGCUCGGAAUCACUGGGCGUAAAGCGCACGUAGGCGGUUUCUUAAGUCAGGGGUGAAAUCCUGGAGCUCAACUCCAGAACUGCCUUUGAUACUGGGAGACUUGGAGUCCGGGAGAGGUGAGUGGAACUGCGAGUGUAGAGGUGAAAUUCGUAGAUAUUCGCAAGAACACCAGUGGCGAAGGCGGCUCACUGGCCCGGUACUGACGCUGAGGUGCGAAAGCGUGGGGAGCAAACAGG